UGACUGCAAGACGAUGUGAAUGGGUUGAGAACCAUCCAUUUUGGUGGGCCAGGGCCCGGGAAAGUCCCCGGGCCAUUCUGCAUAGAUGCAGGCCCAACAAUGGGUUAGCUUCAUGGGCUAGGAGUCCAAAUCCAAUUAAAAUGGGUUGGGCUGAGACGAGGUGGAGCAUAUGGACUCCUGCUUGGUGACUAUUUUGGCCAGCUAUGACAGUCAUUCAUGUGGUUUAAUUAAACUGGGUUAACCGAACGGGGCUUAUGAUCUUGCAAUC
rnacentral:RNase_MRP_RNA from 1 species